rnacentral:rRNA from 1 species
UACGUAGGGGGCAAGCGUUGUCCGGAUUCAUUGGGCGUAAAGAGCGUGUAGGCGGCCAGGUAGGUCGGUUGUGAAAACUGGAGGCUCAACCUUCAGAGGUCGACCGAAACCAUCUGGCUAGAGUCCGGGAGAGGAGAGUGGAAUUCCUGGUGUAGCGGUGAAAUGCGCAGAUAUCAGGAAGAACACCCGUGGCGAAAGCGGCUCUCUGGAACGGUACUGACGCUGAGACGCGAAAGCGUGGGGAGCAAACGGG